rnacentral:rRNA from 1 species
UCAAAUUUGAAAUCUGGCAGCCUCGCUGCCCGAGUUGUAAUUUGAAGACGUGUCUUUGGGGACGGGCCUUGUCUAUGUUCCUUGGAACAGGACGUCACAGAGGGUGAGAAUCCCGUCUGAUGAGGCCUCUGAACCGUGUAAAGGCGCUGUCGACGAGUCGAGUUGUUUGGGAAUGCAGCUCUAAGUGGGUGGUAAAUUCCAUCUAAAGCUAAAUAUUGGCGAGAGACCGAUAGCGAACAAGUACAGUGAUGGAAAGAUGAAAAGAACUUUGAAAAGAGAGUGAAAAAGUACGUGAAAUUGUUGAAAGGGAAGGUUAUUAGAUCAGACUUGGCUGUGGAGUAUAUUGUUCCCCUUGUGGGUUCAUCACUACUGCGCGUGCUGGGCCAGCAUCGAUUCGUGCGGCAGGAUAAAAGCGUGGGAAUGUGGCUGUUGUCUUCGGAGAGCAGUGU